GUGGGUCGUCCCACCUCCCACUCUUUCCCUUAUCUCACGGGAACCACUCAUCCCUAUCCUUUCAUCGAAACGCAAUCCCCUUUUCUUCUCCAUGGCUUUCUCUCGUACUACUCCUCGCCAUGGCCUUGCUUUUUUUCUCUGCUGCCGCCGUGAGGGAAAACCAUCUGCGGUGGCUGGGGCGCCAGGGUGUAGACGGCCAGCCACGCGCUGCAAGCGCCUGAGCCGGGGGCGUAGGAUGCUCCGCCGGUGGGCGGCGGAGCUGCAGUUCAACGGGCGUGCUGCUGCACGGCGACGUCGGAGUUCCAGUGCAACACACAUGUGGUGGGCGGAGGAGCUGCAGUGCAACAGCCAUGUGCCGGCGGCGGAGCAGUGCAACGGCCAUGGUGUUGCGCACCGUCGGCGGAGCUACAGUGCAACACGGUGGUGAGUGAUGUAGCUCCAGUGCAACGGGGCGUGGUGUUCUGCGCUAGCGGCGGAGCUGCAAUGCAACACGCCGAUGUUGCUAUGGAGUGUCGUCGGGGGCCGCCGGUGUUGCUAUGGAGCUUCGCCAGGCCGCCAGUGUUGUAUUGGAGCAUCACUGACGUUGCUAUGGACCGUCAUCGAGGCCGCCGGUGUUGCUAUGGAGCAUUGUCGGGGGUCGCCGGUGUUGCUAUGGAGCGUCUUCGGGUCCGCCGGUGUUGCUAUGGAGCGCCGUCGGUGUGCUGUAUUGCCGCAUCGCCGGGCAACCGGUGCUGUAUUGAAGCAUCGUUGGGACCACGUUGUGUUGCAUAUGGGUUAUGACGGCUGGGCUGUUGCCGGAGCUGAAGUUGUCCGCCGGGGAACAGAGGAACCCUCGCCGGAGUUCCAAGCCAUGGCGGAGUAGGCCAUGUCUCUGGCGAUGUGGUGCGCCAUCGCGGGAGGUGGAGUAGGUGGAGGGGUGGAGGUGGAGAGAAGGGGCGGCGCCCGCGGGUCGUUGUAGUCUCCGGCGAGCUAAAAUCGCAGGGCAGGUGGAGAUGGAGGAAGCGCCGCGAUUUGCGGCCACAGAUGGGGAUCUGUUCGCGUGGGGGGCGUCCUGUUUCAUUGCAACGCAUCGACCGCUAUGGACGACGGGCUUUGCGAGAGGAAGCGUGCACGUGCAGAUCGGACGGACGCGGUGUUCUACAUGGGACGGCCGCGAAGGCGACUUAGGAAUCGGAUAGCAUCGCCCGACUUACGCCUAGCAUCGCCAAUCAUCCUCCGCUCAGCUUGGCCUCCCCGCCGCCCGCCGGUCAAGAACACCGGGAUGCCUAUGCCUGUGCUGCCACACGGAAGUACAUGAGCGUGGGGCGGCGUCCUCCUCUGCUGCCCAACGGACGCCGACGACCUCAUCUGGGAGCAGAUAAACCUGUAAGUUUCCUUUAACUUGCAGAUAUUGCGCUGAUUUGCCGCAUGGUGUGCUAGAACUACACUCCAGGGGAAUAUUUGUUCGGAAUCUCCAGUCUUGUAAUUUUCUCCUUGAUGACAAUGACCAUGCCGUGCUGGGGAUUUGGGUUACAUCCUUGCUGUUUGGACUUUCGCUGCCAAAUCCAGAUCUUAUCCAAAGACUUGGGACUCCAAAUUACAUGCCCCAGAACAUUGGCGACCAAACAUCAGAGGCCCAAUUAGUUACGAGACAUACUCAUUGGGGUUUCGCCUGCAGCAUUCUUGAGAUGUUCAGUGGCAUUCAGCCUUGGCGUGCCAAAUCAUCAGAUGAGAUUUAUCAAUCGGCUGUCGUGAAGAAAGAGAAACAGAUAUUCCCGUACAAUUUACAUACGGAGGUCGAGAAUGUCCUCUCUGGCUGCUUUGAGUAUGACUUUCGGGAUCGCUCCUUGAUGUCAUAUAUUUUACAAUCAUUUGAAAGUGCUCAAGAUGUGGAUUGUAACAACACUGGCUGGGAUAGUUAUGAAAAUCCAAGGCCAACUCAACCAAGUCGCACUAAUUGGUCACACUUUAAGGAUAUGUUGUAAAUCGGUGACAUGGUCCGCUCGAGAAAGCUUAAAAGCUCUUGUACUCCUGAAACAAUGGAAAUCCCUUAUGUAACCAUGGUUGGCUUGGAGGAGGAAGAACGUGCUAGCUACAUUCUUGUACAACUCCAUGGGUUACAAGACCCUGUGAAGGUCCCCUCCUCGUCCUGGAGACUGGGUAAGGCUUAGGGAGGAAGACAAGAAGCGGUCCCAGGUUGGAAUUCUUCAUAGCAUCGACCGCAAUGGCACUAUGUGUGCUGGUUUGAUAGCAAUGGAUACCCUCAGGAAGGGGGGAUAUUCUUCAUAGUUAUCAUAAAACAUCUUCAAUUUCUGCACAUAUACAAGUCGCAGGUAGUCACAUAUCAUCUUCUAUUCCUAUUAUCCAUAAUAUGAAGCUAUAUAAUGUUGAUACGAAUUAGUACUAAUAUAUAAGUUUGGCAGUCCACAUAACCAAAAUAUGUUAAUCCCAAUUGUGCAGGUGCUGGCAAUUUUAUAUUUUGCUAUGCAAAUGUACAAUUGGCUUUCAUAGAAUAAAAUGAGAUUUGAGAGGUAAGCAUCUGAACAAAACAAUUGCACCGUAAGGCAGUUUAUACUUGCUACACUUAAAGAGAAGACUACACUACAUGCUAUAUUACUAAAUUGCUAAAUAAUUGCUGAUUUAAUUAAAUGAGAAUAUGUUUCCUGCUAUUACUCUAUGCAGCAACUUAACCACAGUGGUGUCUCACUUUUGAAAAUACAAUUUUGAGCGACAUCAAACAUCUUUAUCCAUUUGAUUUUUUUUGCAAUAUUUAGUUUUAUUCUAUAGUACGUGAAUCUCACCUGGUUUACAUUUGAGACGUGCGUACAACCAUCGAUGCUAAUAUCGGUUGAUUUCUGUGGCCAAUUAUGUGCAUGCAAUACUUUGAGAUCUAAAUGUCGCCGGAAAAGAUAAAAGUUGUACAUGUACGUCUACUCAGAUUUUUGGACUUUUGUGUGCAUCGGGAAUGCAUAAUUAAGCUAUGCAUUGCCUAUCAUCUCCUAAACUCUAUUACAGGAAGCAUGGUUUCAUUUUAGGGCGAUGCUAGGUGUCAACCGACUGAUUUCCUGGGGAAAUAAGUCGGGUCGCCAGCCGUUCGAUGCAUCCUCCUAGAGCCGGGUCAACGGAAGCAACGACCGUAUCGCCGUAGGGACGCAGGGCCGCAUGCUGGCAGUAGGAGCCGCGCCCCCCUCGCCGGCAGCGCAACGACGCUUUGCCGACGGCGCCGGCGAUGCUACACUGCAGCUCCUACCCCGCUGCAUCGCAGCUCAGGGGCUCCGGUGAAGCUCCAAUGCAGCCGCCGGUGAAGCUACAAUGCAGCACCGCCCGUUGUAGUGCAGUUCCGGGCUCGCCGGUGAAGCUCCAUUGCAGCGCCGACGAUGCUUCACUGCAGCACCGACGCCGGCGCGGCGGCGGUCCAUCGAUGCUCCAUAGCAGCACUCAACGCCGUCGGUGAUGUUUCACUGCAGCCCGCACCGACGCGGCGAGCUUCAUAGCAGCACCCGACGGCCCCGCCGGCGGAGCUUCACUGCAGCGCCCCACCGCUUGCUGGAGCUCCGCUGUAGCACCGACUACCCUCGCCGAAGCUCCAUGGCAGCACCCAAGGGCCUCCGGUGAAGCUUCACUACAGAGCCCCCUCCGGCUUGGCGGUGCUCCAUCGCAGCACGACGGCAAUGCGGUUGAUGCGACGAAGCACGCGGCGGCGACGGGCGGAUGCUAUGACGCAGCACGAUGCCGACGGGAAAUGGGGUGACGCAGCACGCGGUGGUGACGACGGAUGCGACGCCGAGGGCGGAUGCUUCGUCGUCCAUCCCCCCUCCCCCCCACCCCCAUGCCCCGCCCAGGUGGGAGCUUCUCCAUGGUUGAUGUGGAUUUAGCCGGCGUCGGCUCAUCCUUGCAGCAGCAGGUGGAGGAGAAAAAAGGAAGGAAGAAGAUGAGGAGGGGGACGAGUGAAGGAGGAGGAGCCGGAAGGGAUAAGGUGGGAGGAAAAAGCGAUGGACUGGGGGGGGCACGUGGCGUGCGUACGAGGCGGCUUACCGAGACAGAAAAAUCAUCCGGUUUAAACUAAACGUUUCCCUUCAUUUUAUCCCAUAUAUCAGUACAUAAGUAUGUUUAGCUUAUAUAUAAUUGGUGAUUUGUCCAUGGAAAUUGAUGACUUUUAUCUUCUGCAUCUGUUUUGAUCUUUUUAAGCACAUCCUUAAAUUGGUGAUUUUUUCUGUUAAUGUCGAACCAAUUUUAGCAAAUGAUUUUCUUUGUUACGAUAAUUCUGAGUGCAUUUUGUCAGUUUGAUAUUGGAGAACUAAAAACUAACUCUAGUGCUUUGAUGAAUUUUGUGUUUCCUCAAUAGUGUCUUGAAUCUAAAAUCAUAAAAGUAUUACAUGCACAUACUUAUAUGAAUCAAGCCUUACAUGAUUCGCUCUUUUACUGAUGGGCUGAGGAGGUCAGAGAUGUACAAUAGCCGUAUUGAUCCAAAUGACAAGUACGGCAGUGCUAACCUGCUUGCCUAGAAUUUUACCACAUCCUAAGACUUGCAAAUCUGUACAAUAGGAAUGGCUAGUUGUUUUCUGGUCUACAACCGUGACAUGUAGUGGCAUCUCUCACCAUGUCUGCACAUAGUGUUUAGGUAUGAUUGUUGCAUACUGUCGACAAGGGCGCGACGUUUUUUCUGAACUGAAUUUUUUUUUGCUUACUGGUUGAGCUCGGUUUCAACUCUUACUUGAGUAGUUGAUCGGCAAGCCUGAUGCAGGUGUAUGAAAAUUAUGCAGUUCCAUUAGCUCUGGAGUUGUCCAGUAUACUACUGAGGCCUACAUAUUUUGCUGAUGCAGGUUGGAGGUGAACAUGAACUCUGGCAAUCCAAAAUAGCAGAUAUAAAAUAACUGCAGCUCAGGCCAUGUAGUUCUACAACAAUCAAGGAAGAAGUCCGGUUUUUUAAGCCGACCUCGGCCAAACAAUUUAAGCUUACAUGGGUGCUCUCUAUUUUUCAGAGGUGCGUGUACGGAGAGCGCCCAUGAUUCAGGGCAAAAAAUCUAGACAAAGUGAAAAAACUUUUGUACGAGUGGUGAUAGCCUGUUUAAGGAUGUUGACUGUGGCUACACAACUUCAACAACGUGCUUGCAACUCAUGAGUGGCAAAGUAUAACAUGCCGCCUUUUUCUUUAAACAAGCCCCUUCAAAUUAUGUAUGCAAUAUGCUGGGAAGAACUCAUGACAAAGCCUUAUUUGUAUGCACGUCUUAAUGUAUUUUCAUACUGGCUCAAGUAAUGUACUCUUUGUUAGGAUUUAAUUAAUCCUAUUAAUCCCUGCUUUUCUAACCGAGGCGGUUGCCUCACAUCCCUUCGGUCGCACCCCUUCAGGGGCUAUAUAUAUGUGUAAUCCCAUCAUCAAUGAGAAGGAAAG
rnacentral:rRNA from 1 species